rnacentral:ncRNA from 2 species
AGCGUCCUCAGCGACGGA